GGGCCUGUAGCUCAUCUGGAUAGAGCGCCUGGCUACGAACUAGGAGGUAGAGGGUUCAAAUCCUUCCAGGCCCGCCA
rnacentral:tRNA from 2 species